rnacentral:telomerase_RNA from 1 species
AACGGGGUGGGGCCCGGAGAUGUAUCUGCUUAUUCCCAUCUAAACCCUGAACUGUCCCUGUUAAAUUGGGGAUUUCAAGCUGUUGGGGGUCUUUGGCCGGCGUUUCCUCCCGAAUAAUAAUCAAAAAACGUCGAUGGUUACAUAAGAGACUCAUCUCCACGUAGGACCCAUUGGGUUUGGGCGGGUUGGUUUGUUAGGUGGUUCUGUUGAAACCAGAUUGGUGUCUGCGGUAACCGUUUCCUCGCCUUUCCCUCCCACCCCCAAAUUUU